rnacentral:rRNA from 1 species
UACGUAGGGUGCAAGCGUUGUCCGGAAUCAUUGGGCGUAAAGCGCGCGUAGGUGGAUUCGUAAGUCCGUUGUGAAAGUCAAAGGCUCAACCUUUGAAUGCCGAUGGAUACUGCGGAGCUAGAGUACGGAAGAGGCGAGUGGAAUUCCUGGUGUAGCGGUGGAAUGCGCAGAUAUCAGGAGGAACCCCAAUAGCGAAGGCAGCUCGCUGGGACGUUACUGACACUAAGGCGCGAAAGCGUGGGGAGCGAACAGG